UGGGGAAUAUUGGACGAUGGGGGCAACCCUGAUCCAGCAAUGCCGCGUGUGUGAAGAAGGUCUUCGGAUUGUAAAGCACUUUCGACGGGGACGAUGAUGACGGUACCCGUAGAAGAAGCCCCGGCUAACUUCGUGCCAGCAGCCGCGGUAAUACGAAGGGGGCUAGCGUUGCUCGGAAUGACUGGGCGUAAAGGGCGUGUAGGCGGUUUACACAGUCAGAUGUGAAAUCCCCGGGCUUAACCUGGGAGCUGCAUUUGAUACGUGUAGACUAGAGUGUGAGAGAGGGUUGUGGAAUUCCCAGUGUAGAGGUGAAAUUCGUAGAUAUUGGGAAGAACACCGGUGGCGAAGGCGGCAACCUGGCUCAUGACUGACGCUGAGGCGCGAAAGCGUGGGGAGCAAACAGGAUUAGAUACCCUGGUAGUCCACGCUGUAAACGAUGUGUGCUAGAUGUUGGGUAACUUUGU
rnacentral:rRNA from 1 species